rnacentral:rRNA from 1 species
CCUACGGGAGGCAGCAGUGGGGAAUCUUGCGCAAUGGGCGAAAGCCUGACGCAGCAACGCCGCGUGCGGGAAGAAGGCUUUCGGGCUGUAAACCGCUUUCAGCAGGAACGAAAAUGACGGUACCUGCAGAAGAAGGAGCGGCCAACUAUGUGCCAGCAGCCGCGGUGAUACAUAGGCUUCAAGCGUUGUCCGGAUUUAUUGGGCGUAAAGAGUUCGUAGGCGGUCGAGUAAGUCGGGUGUGAAAAUUCUGGGCUCAACCCAGAGACGCCACCCGAUACUGCUUGACUUGAGUUCGAUAGGGGAGUGGGGAAUUCCUAGUGUAGCGGUGAAAUGCGCAGAUAUUAGGAGGAACACCGGUGGCGAAGGCGCCACUCUGGAUCGAUACUGACGCUGAGGAACGAAAGCAUGGGUAGCAAACAGGAUUAGAUACCCUGGUAGUCCAUGCCGUAAACGGUGGGCACUAGGUGUGGGUUUCUAUUAACGAAAUCCGCGCCGUCGCUAACGCAUUAAGUGCCCCGCCUGGGGAGUACGGUCGCAAGACUAAACUCAAAGGAAUUGACGG